GGCUAAAUUAUACCGGUGAGUUGAUAUCCCUUUGUAUGUGCUAGUUGGUUCAUAAUUUUUUUUGGUAAGUGCAGUUUGCAGUAUUGUAUGAGGCACGUGCAAAUACCGGCGUUGACAGGAUGAAAAUCAUAAAUGCUGUGGCAAAAUCUGUCCCAGGACCUCAUAAAGUUGACCUGAGCAAUCCUGACAAAACAAUCGUAGUUGAAGUGGUGAAGACUGUAUGCUUGAUUGGAGUUGUCGAAAAGUACAAGGAGUUAGCCAAAUACAACCUGAGGCAGCUCACUUCACCAAAAUAACCAACUCAUCUCAUUUUUUAAGCAGGGAAAGUGUGAGUGGGUAUGGCUAUUGUGGGCUAGCCAAAUACAACCUGAGGCAGCUCACUUCACCAAAA